UUUACCUAGCACAACAUCCGAGAGAGAGAAAAAAAAGAGAGCCAGUUAGGUCAGGUAAAAUGCGUGCCCAGGUAUUAGAGCUUGAGUGGAGUGGGGAACCUCUCUCCUUUUCUAGCCUAAGAAAAACCCGACCCACCUAGUCCUUAAAGUUCUUCACCCAGCACAGUAACCAACCGGUAUAGAGAGAAAAAAAGAUAGAGCCAAUGGGAAAAUUAUUCAACGGAACGGUGUGAUUGCAUCUUUGCAGGAUUCGUUGAGGGCUCAUCAACCGUCUGUUGCGUCCUAAUGAUGUAAAAUACUUACCAACCGAAUAUCUUCAAGGAGUGAGUUGGCACCAGCACAAGCAUAUUAUUGCAUUCAUAUCUGGGACGAAUCAAGUGUUGUUCGUGACUAUGAAAAUGCAGGUCAUCAAAUCUAGUUCAAUAAGGAAAAGACCCUUGUAUUUUGAAACCAUGACUUGCAAAGGGAUGUUAAAGUUCUUGAGUGGAGACCAAACAGCGGGAGGACUCUGUCUGUUGCAUGCAAGCAAGUACCUUAGAGCUGCAAUCUUAUCAUAUAAAAUAAGCACUAUAGAUCUUAGAACUUAACAGGAUAAAAUCAUUUCUCACAAGAAUGUUUGCUGUACAUUAGCGUUAUAUUUUAACUUGACUUGAAAUCCCUGGACUGAAUGUUCUUUCAGAGGUGGAAUUUGUAUAUGGGCUGCUUCUUUCCCUGGAAAUGAUGCUUCCGUGAGACCUGGUGCCAUGUCUUUCUUAGGAUCAUUCUCAAGAGGCUUCGGGGUUCGAUAUACGCUAGUUGAUUUUCUUCGAAGCCAUGAUGAACAGAUUAGUGCCCUGUCAUGGAGUUCGGAUGGAAGAUAUCCAAAUCAAUUAACAAAUUUUAGUCCUUUGCAUGAUAGUUGAAUUGAUGGUUGGAUGAUAGUGCAAACCCCUUUCUCUGUGGAAGAAUUCAUCAAAUGAUUUUCUUUGAUUAUACUUGCUGACAAUAUUUUACUUGCUAUAUUUUUAUUGUUCUUUUUAUGUUGUCUCCUCACCGAAGUAUUUCAACCUGAUACUAGAGAUUUCCUUUAACUCCUUAGCACAUAUCUCGCAUCUGCUACUUAUGAGAGCUCUUCUUUUACCAUUUGGGAUGUGGCUCAAGAUCUGAAAGAGAAACUAUCUGCUGCCACAGAAGAGGUUGGUGUCUUAUGUGAUACGUCAGUCAAACACAUAUAUAACCAUACUAUAAACAUUUGGAUUAUAUGUCCUAAACCCUAUUUAAAACUCAAAACAAUUUUUUUAGAACUAAAACAAAUAUUUUGUUUUUAAAAAUUAGACUAAAAAAAUCAAAUUUUACUUCAACAAAACAGAAAAACUAAGGUAAAAUAAUUGUCAAAUAAGAACCAUUAACUAAAUAGACAACACGUACAACAACAAAAUUUUCAGUAAUGAUAAAGGAAAAAAAAUUAUUUUUCAAAUAAUUAUAAUCCAAAAUUUUCAAGAAAUGUAAAAUUUCAUUUAAUAGGACAAGAAAUUAUGAACACCAGUUUCCAAUUUUGACAAUUGAUGAAAGUAUUAGAAAUUGAAAGUUGUCU